AAAACAAAUCAAACAACUCACAUUGAAAGAAAUGUUUAAUAAAAGACUGUGAUGACAAAUUUCAGACCUCAGGACAUAUUUUCGGAACGAAAGGAAAAAGAUGAAGCUGUUUAAAAUUGGAAGAAGAUCCACUGGAUUUGUACUGAAGUGGAAGCAUUAUGUACAGUUUCAGUUUUUAGAUUACUCUUUUGCUGCUAUGGCCAGUUGCAGCAAUAUGGAUAAUCAUCUAAGUGUAUUGUAAUGAAUUUUGUUCAAGAAACUGAAACAUUUCAAGAAGAAAAUGUUCUUCUACAAGCACA